UUAAUGAGUAAAAUAUAUGAAUAGGACAAACAAGGCCUAGAAAGGAUCCUUUAAAAUGCAUUUAUUUUAUAUUGCUUGUUUUUUGUUUUUUAAUACCACAGGGCUGGAAUCAAUUGAAAAUACAGUCUUGACUUCCUCAGUGCACAAGCCACUGGAAAUCUAUAAUAACCUCUGGGGAAAGAAAAUGGAAAUUUGCAGGUUCAACAACUAG
rnacentral:lncRNA from 1 species